GAGGCCACCAAGGUCACUGAGGCUACUAUGGCCACCAAGGACACCGAGGUCCCUGUGGUCACUGCGGCCACCAGGACCCUCUGAGCCAUGAGGCCACCAAGGUCACCGAGGUCACUGCGGCCACCCAAGGACACCGGGACCUCCUGAGUGACAAGGCCACCACCACGGUCACUUUGGCCACUGUGGUUGCUGUGGUCACUUUGGCCACCACGAGCACUGGGGUCACCAAGGCCACCAGGACCCCCUGAGCCACAAGGCCACCACCAAGGCCACCACUGUCACUGUGGUCACUUUGGCCACCGUGGUUAUUGGGCCACUGGAGUCACCACUGUCACCAUGGCCAUUGUGGCCACUGUGACCACUGAGGCCACCAUGGCCACCAAGGCCACCACGGCCACCAUGGCCACCAAAGCCACCAUGGCCACCAAGGCCACCGUGGUCACUAUGGCCACCAAGGUCACCAAGGCCACCAUGGCCACUGUAGCCACCAUGGUCACUGUGGCCACCAAGGCCACCAAGACCACCCUGGCCACCAAGGCCAUCAUGGCCACCAUGGCCACUGUAGCCACCAUGGCCACAACAGUCACCAUGGUCACUGUGGCCACCAAGGCCACCAAGGCCAUCAUGGCCACCAUGGCCACUGUAGCCACCAAGGCUACCAAGGCUACCACAACCAUCAAGGCCACCAAGGCCACUAUGACCACCAUGGCCACUGUAGCCACUGUGGCCACCAAGGCCACCAUGGUCACCAAGGUCACCAAGGCCACCAAAGCCACCAAGUCUACUAAGGCCACCAAGGCCACCAUGGCCACCAAAGCCACCGUGGCCACCGUGGCCAGGACAAGGGGACAGAGCCAUGGUUGCCACCAGGAGCAGGGACAGGACCGGGGGACAGGGCAGGGGACAGGACAGGACAGGGGGUGGUGGCCGCGGUUCUUCGCUUUUGGGGAUUUUUUACGUCCCUUUCCCGAUAAUUUUAAUUCUUCCGGAUAAUUAAACUGGAUUUGCCUCAAUCAAAAAAUGAUCCUCUCACUUUGACCCAAAUUAAGGGAUUUGGGGUCGGGUUUAUUUGAUUUAGACCCAAAUUAAGGGAUUUGGGGUCCGGUUUGGGGGAUUUAGACCCAAAUUAAGGGAUUUGGGGUCAGGUUUAUUUGAUUUAGACCCAAAUUAAGGGAUUUGGGGUCUGGUUUGGGGGAUUUAGACCCAAAUUAAGGGAUUUGGGGUCCGGUUUGGGGGAUUUAGACCCAAAUUAAGGGAUUUGGGGUCCGGUUUGGGGGAUUUAGACCCAAAUUAAGGGAUUUGGGGUCCGGUUUAGGGGAUUUAGACCCAAAUUAAGGGAUUUGGGGUCAGGUUUAUUUGAUUUAGACCCAAAUUAAGGGAUUUGGGGUCCGGUUUGGGGGAUUUAGACCCAAAUUAAGGGAUUUGGGGUCCGGUUUGGGGGAUUUAGACCCAAAUUAAGGGAUUUAGGCCUAAAUUAGGAGGUUUAGACCCAAAUUAAGGGAUCUGGAUUCAGGGAUUUCAACCUGAAUUGAAGUUUUUGGGCCUGAAUUAAAGGAUUUUAAUCAGAAUUAAGGAAUUUCAACCUGAAUUAGGAGUUUUCAGCCUGAACUAAGGGAUCUCAAUCUGAAUUAAGGGAUUUCAACCAGAAUCAAGUGAUUAAAACCAGAAUGAGAUGAUCUAAACAAUAAUUAAGCGAUUUAAGCCAUAAUUAAGCGAUUUAAAUCAUAAUUAAGCUAUUUAAACCAGAAUCAAUUUAUUUAAAUCAGAAUUAAUUUAUUUAAACCAGAAUCAAUUGAUUUAUAUCAGAAUUAAGCGAUUUAAACCACAAUUAAGUGAUUUAAGCCAGAAUUAAGCGAUUUAAACCCGAAUUAAGCGAUUUAAACCCGAAUUAAGCGAUUUUAACCCGAAUUAAGCGAUUUAAACCGAAUUAAGCGAUUUAAACCCGAAUUAAGCGAUUUAAACCCGAAAUAAGCGAUUUAAACCCGAAUUAAGU
rnacentral:lncRNA from 1 species